rnacentral:misc_RNA from 1 species
UUUUAACAAAAUAAUAAUAAAUUCCAAGAAAUAAUUAAAAAAUAAUUUGAAAUAUUCUAAUGAAAAACCAUUUACCUGUUUUUUAAAAGGUACAAAUAACUUUUUUGACCUGUAAAUUUAGGUAUAUGUUGUACCUACAUACCUACAUUGCUAAUUGAAGUCCAAGAACAAUUAACUACUACAUUAUAAAUCAAAUUCAAAAACUAAAAUCAGGGGGCCAAAAGAUGCGGUCAAAAAGAGUGGAACAUAAAUAAAAUCUUCGACAAUUCACAACUAUCAGCACCAGAGGUUAAUACGAAACUCGAAAAAAUCAUUAAUCUUAGAACAAAAUGUCGGACGGAGGAUGUGAUACGACUUGUUGUGAUAGCGGUGGAGGUUUUGACAGUGGUGGCGCAUGUGACACGGUUUGCGGCGAUAGUGGCGGAGGUGGUGGUGAAAGUGGUACUUGUCAUACAUCCGAUAAUACUGUUAACGAUAAUAGCGCCACAUAUGAUAUUGCCAAUAGUAAUGAUCCAAGUAUUUUUCAUAAUUUCCACCAUGAUCCCACAUUCGGUGUUGCAUCAAAUAAUUUUGAUGAUAGUUAUCAUAAUUUCAAUAAUAAUUCAGAAAACGUUAAUAAUAAAACAAAUAAAUCGUCUUGCUGGGGUUGUUGUUUUGGAGCGUUUAUUUUUAUAUUUUUAUUAGUCAUUGGAUUCAUUAUGAUUAACACUUUAUAACCCAUGUUUUCAGAUUUUUUUUAGAUAAAAAUAAUAUUAAAAAAUUGUAAUUGUUGUUUUAUUCACAAUUUUUUAUUCAUUUUAUGAUUGUAGAAAAAAAUUUAUUGAUCUAAAAUUUUAGUAACAUUUGUAACGUUAAUUUAGUUUAAUAAAAACAAAUAUCUGGCAACUUUUUGUAUGUUGCAUUGGCUAAGUGUUAUUAUUCAUUACACAUGACAUUUUUCUUAAAAUCUCUUCUUCCUCUCUCUUCGGAAAUUUAUUUCAUAUAAACAAGUUACAUAUAAUAUUAAUAAUCAAGUCCCUAUAACCAACGUUCGAUUGAAUUCAAUUUGUUUGUUAGUUUCAUAGUAAAACUUUUGUUCGAUCAGUUGUUUGCAAUCAGUCGCCAAACUUAUUAAAACUCAUGUUCGAGAUUCAUUUUUUGUAAAACAUUAGUUAGAAAAACAUAAUAACCAAUCAAAAUGUCAGAUUGUGGAUGCGAUAGUGGUGGAGGAUUUGAUAGUGGCGGUUGUGAUGACGGUGGAGGAUUUGACAGCGGUAUUUGUCAUACGUCAGAUCAUACAUCUUAUGAUAUGACCACCAAUAAUGAUUCAAAUUUUUUCCAUAAUUAUCACAAUGAUUCCUCUUACGACCAUUCAUUCGAUAAUAGUAAUUCUAACAAUAGUAAAUCACAGGAAUCACAAUGCUGUUCAAAUUUUGCGUAUGGAAUAUUUUGCUUGACGUGGUUUACCGCUUUUAUAUUUAUUUUAUAUAAAAUAUUCGCAAUGUGAUAUUGUGGAAAUUGGUUUUAUAAAGGAACAUUAAAAAUAAGUUUAAAUGUUUUAGUUUUUUACCACCUUAAGAAUUCAUUAUUGAAAUUAAUAAAUAUUAAAAUAAUGCAUCAUA